CUCCUGGAAACGGGUGGUAAUGCCGGAUGUUCCAGUUGAUCGCAUGGUCUUCUGGGAAAGCUUUCGCGGUAUGGGAUGGGGUCGCGUCCUAUCAGCUUGACGGCGGGGUAACGGCCCACCGUGGCUUCGACGGGUAGCCGGCCUGAGAGGGUGACCGGCCACAUUGGGACUGAGAUACGGCCCAGACUCCUACGGGAGGCAGCAGUGGGGAAUAUUGCACAAUGGGCGCAAGCCUGAUGCAGCGACGCCGCGUGAGGGAUGGAGGCCUUCGGGUUGUAAACCUCUUUUAUCGGGGAGCAAGCGUGAGUGAGUUUACCCGUUGAAUAAGCACCGGCUAACUACGUGCCAGCAGCCGCGGUAAUACGUAGGGUGCAAGCGUUAUCCGGAAUUAUUGGGCGUAAAGGGCUCGUAGGCGGUUCGUCGCGUCCGGUGUGAAAGUCCAUCGCUUAACGGUGGAUCCGCGCCGGGUACGGGCGGGCUUGAGUGCGGUAGGGGAGACUGGAAUUCCCGGUGUAACGGUGGAAUGUGUAGAUAUCGGGAAGAACACC
rnacentral:rRNA from 1 species